rnacentral:rRNA from 1 species
AUUGAACGCUGGCGGCAGGCCUAACACAUGCAAGUCGAGCGGAUGAAGGGAGCUUGCUCCUGGAUUCAGCGGCGGACGGGUGAGUAAUGCCUAGGAAUCUGCCUGGUAGUGGGGGAUAACGUCCGGAAACGGGCGCUAAUACCGCAUACGUCCUGAGGGAGAAAGUGGGGGAUCUUCGGACCUCACGCUAUCAGAUGAGCCUAGGUCGGAUUAGCUAGUUGGUGGGGUAAAGGCCUACCAAGGCGACGAUCCGUAACUGGUCUGAGAGGAUGAUCAGUCACACGGGAACUGAGACACGGUCCAGACUCCUACGGGAGGCGGCAGUGGGGAAUAUUGGACAAUGGGCGAAAGCCUGAUCCAGCCAUGCCGCGUGUGUGAAGAAGGUCUUCGGAUUGUAAAGCACUUUAAGUUGGGAGGAAGGGCAGUAAGUUAAUACCUUGCUGUUUUGACGUUACCAACAGAAUAAGCACCGGCUAACUUCGUG